UACGAAGGGAGCUAGCGUUGUUCGGAAUCACUGGGCGUAAAGCGCGCGUAGGCGGCUUUGCAAGUCAGGGGUGAAAUCCCACAGCUUAACUGUGGAACUGCCUUUGAAACUGCAAGGCUAGAAUGUGAGUAGGGAUGGCGGAAUUCCUAAUGUAGAGGUGAAAUUCGUAGAUAUUAGGAGGAACACCUGUGGCGAAAGCGGCCAUCUGGAUCACAAUUGACGCUGAAGUGCGAAAGCGUGGGUAGCAAACAGG
rnacentral:rRNA from 1 species